GAUGAAGAACGCAGCGAAAUGCGAUAAGUAGUGUGAAUUGCGGAAUUCAGUGAAUCAUCGAAUCUUUGAACGCACAUUGCGCCCUUUGGUAUUCCAAAGGGCAUGCCUGUUGGAGCGUCAUUUGUACCCUCAAGCUUUGCUUGGUGUUGGGCGUCUUGUCUCUAGCUUUGCUGGAGACUCGCCUUAAAGUAAUUGGCAGCCGGCCUACUGGUUUCGGAGCGCAGCACAAGUCGCACUCUCUAUCAGCAAAGGUCUAGCAUCCAUUAAGCCUUUUUUUCAACUUUUGACCUCGGAUCAGGUAGGGAUACCCGCUGAACUUAAGCAUAUCAAUAAGCGGAGGA
rnacentral:misc_RNA from 1 species